AUACGGAGGGUGCAAGCGUUACUCGGAAUCACUGGGCGUAAAGCGCGCGCAGGCGGUCUUUUAAGUUGGAUGUGAAAGCCUACAGCUCAACUGUAGAACUGCAUCCAAAACUAUUAGACUAGAGUCUGGGAGGGGAAGAUGGAAUUAGUUGUGUAGGGGUAAAAUCCGUAGAGAUAACUAGGAAUACCAAAAGCGAAGGCAAUCUUCUGGAACACUACUGACGCUGAGGCGCGAAAGCGUGGGGAGCAAACAGGAUUAGAAACCCGAGUAGUCC
rnacentral:rRNA from 1 species